rnacentral:tRNA from 1 species
UCCUGGCUGGCUCAGUCAGUAGAGCAUGAGACUCUUGAUCUCGGGGUUGCGAGUUCGAGACCCAUGCUGGGCG